UGACCACUUACGAUUGUAAGUCAAAGCCAUACGGACAGCUGGGUCAAAUGCCGC
rnacentral:sRNA from 1 species